rnacentral:rRNA from 1 species
GACGGAGGGUGCGAGCGUUGUUCGGAAUUACUGGGCGUAAAGCGCGCGCAGGUGGGUGCGCAAGUCGGAGGUGAAAGCGCAGGGCUCAACCCUGCGACGCCCUUCGAGACUGCGUGUCUAGGGACCGGUAGAGGUGAGUGGAAUUCCCGGUGUAGCGGUGGAAUGCGUAGAUAUCGGGAAGAACACCGAAGACGAAGGCAACUCACUAAGCCAGAUCCGACACUGAGGCGCGAAAGCGUGGGGAGCAAAC